UGAUGUGUGUGGCAGCUGCAGCCAAUCAGGAGGAAAUCUGUGGCGUCUGUCUUUCCAUCAGCGCGCCCAUAAACGUCGAGGUGGCUGUAAAACGGAGCGGCUGAUUUAAGAGCCGCUGAUUUUUAUUGCAGCCAUCUUUGUUUUGGUCGCAGACAGAUUCCAUUCCCACGUCGUCAGGUUGUAUUUGAGCAGGAGCUGCAGAAUGGGACAGAAAGAUGAGUUUCUUCAGGCCUCCGUGCAUCAGGAUGACGGACACUCACCUGUUUUCCUGCCUCCAGCCACCAGGGGGAGCUCUACAUACUUCAGCUUCACUGUAGAGGACCUGUCAUGUUGUCCACUAGUUAUACAGGCUAUGCUUUGUCGGCCUUUCACUCACGUAUGGGAACCCAUCGCCGUGACCUCCUCCACCCUCUGGCUCACAGCGAGGCGUCGACCUUUAACCCCAAUUUGUCUUCCACGCUGCUGCUAGCGUCGGACAUGACAGCUGAGAUGAAGCGUGGUGCUGAGGGGAAUCCACACACUUUCCCUCCUGUCGGUUUG